rnacentral:rRNA from 1 species
UAGGCGGUCUGUCACGUCUGCUGUGAAAACCCGAGGCUCAACCUCGGGCUUGCAGUGGGUACGGGCAGACUAGAGUGCGGUAGGGGAGACUGGAAUUCCUGGUGUAGCGGUAAAAUGCACAGAUAUCAGGAGGAACACCGAUGGCGAAGGCAGGUCUCUGGGCCGCAACUGACGCUGAGGAGCGAAAGCGUGGGUAGCAAACAGGAUUAGAUACCCUGGUAGUCCACGCCGUAAACGUUGGGCACUAGGUGUGGGGCUCAUUCCACGAGUUCCGCGCCGUANCUANCGCAUUAAGUGCCCCNCCUGGGGGAGUACGGCCCCAGGCUAAACUCAAAGGAAUUGACGGGGNCCCCCNCAANCGGC